GCUGGCGGCGUGCCUAACACAUGCAAGUCGAACGAGAAAGGGGAGCAAUCCCUGAGUAAAGUGGCGACCGGGUGAGUAACACGUGACUAACCUGCCUUCGAGUGGGGGAUAACCUCGGGAAACCGGGGCUAAUACCGCAUAAUGCCGAGAGGUUAAAGGAGCAAUUCGCUUGAAGAGGGGGUCGCGGCUGAUUAGCUAGUUGGCGGGGUAACGGCCCACCAAGGCGAUGAUCGGUAGCCGGCCUGAGAGGGCGCACGGCCACACUGGAACUGAAACACGGUCCAGACUCCUACGGGAGGCAGCAGUGGGGAAUUUUGCGCAAUGGGGGAAACCCUGACGCAGCAACGCCGCGUGGAGGAUGAAGUCCCUUGGGACGUAAACUCCUUUCGACCGGGACGAUAAUGACGGUACCGGUGGAAGAAGCCCCGGCUAACUUCGUGCCAGCAGCCGCGGUAAUACGAGGGGGGCAAGCGUUGUUCGGAAUUAUUGGGCGUAAAGGGCGCGUANGCGGUGCGGUAAGUCACCUGUGAAACCUCCGGGCUUAACUCGGAGCCUGCAGGCGAAACUGCCGUGCUG
rnacentral:rRNA from 1 species